UUUCUACUCCCUCCGUCCGAAAAUACUUGUCAUCAAAAUGGAUAAAAAUAGAUGUAUCUAAAACUAAAAUACGUCUAGAUACAUUUCCUUUUAUCCAUUUUGAUGACAAGUAUUUCUGGACGAAGGGAGUAUUUG
rfam:Triticum aestivum genome assembly, contig: Triticum_aestivum_CS42_TGACv1_scaffold_220682_3B